GAUCAAAUGCACUUAAAGGAUUCUCGAUUUACUGGAAUGGCGGUGGAUUAUAGGACAUAAUACCCGUUAACUCCACUGAUGGGCCCUAGAGUAAAGGUGGCCGUACACCUAGCAAGAGAUAAGGCUUAUUCAGACCCACUCGAGUGAAUGAAUUUUCAGGGACAAUCAGGGCUGGAUGGUGCAUGCUAUCAUUUUUCCAAUCAUAGCAUUCACAGUAAAAACCAGGCGCUAAACAGUAAGUGAAAACUGGCUUAGCAAUUCAUCAGAUGGAUCCUUUCAUUUUCCAAAGGUGCGCCAAAGAAUGAUAAAGCGCUCAUGUCUGUAAAUCACAUGACCUGCGUUCUGUGGACG